rnacentral:rRNA from 1 species
UACGUAGGGUGCGAGCGUUGUCCGGAAUUACUGGGCGUAAAGAGCUCGUAGGUGGUUUGUCGCGUUGUCCGUGAAAACUCACAACUCAAUUGUGGGCGUGCGGGCGAUACGGGCAGACUGGAGUACUGCAGGGGAGACUGGAAUUCCUGGUGUAGCGGUGGAAUGCGCAGAUAUCAGGAGGAACACCGGUGGCGAAGGGCGGGUCUCUGGGCCGAUACUGACGCUGAGGAGCGAAAGCGUGGGGGAGCGAACAGG